CCUACGGGAGGCAGCAGUGAGGAAUAUUGGUCAAUGGACGCAAGUCUGAACCAGCCAUGCCGCGUGCAGGAAGACGGCUCUAUGAGUUGUAAACUGCUUUUGUACGAGGGUAAACGCAGAUACGCGUAUCUGUCUGAAAGUAUCGUACGAAUAAGGAUCGGCUAACUCCGGGCCAGCAGCCGCGGUAAUACGGAGGAUUUAAGCGUUAUCCGGAUUUAUUGGGUUUAAAAGGUGCGUAGGCGGUCGGAUAAGUUAGAGGUGAAAUCCCGAGGCUAAACUUCGGAAUUGCCUCGGAUACUGUUCGGCUAGAGAGUAGUUGCGGUAGGCGGAAUGUAUGGUGUAGCUGUGAAAUGCUUAGAGAUCAUACAGAACACCGAUUGCGAAGGCAGCUUACCAAGCUACUUCUGACGUUGAGGCACGAAAGCGUGGGGAGCAAACAGGAUUAGAUACCCGAGUAGUC
rnacentral:rRNA from 1 species